AACGAACGCUGGCGGCAGGCUUAACACAUGCAAGUCGAACGGAUGGGUGUAGCAAUACAUUUCAUCAGUGGCAGACGGGUGAGUAACACGUGGGAACCUUCCUCGUUGUACGGGACAACUCAGGGAAACUUGAGCUAAUACCGUAUAAGUCCGAGAGGAGAAAGAUUUAUCGCAAUGAGACGGGCCCGCGUCGGAUUAGCUAGUU
rnacentral:rRNA from 1 species